CACAUACGGAUAUAGAUGAUGCGGAAUUAUCGGGUCGUCUACGGGACACAACUCUAGCAUUCUCGCCUCAUAUAGAUAAUUUGGCAGGCAUUGAUUAUUCUUCACCCAGG